GAGUUUGAUCAUGGCUCAGAAUCAACGCUGGCGGCGUGCCUAACACAUGCAAGUCGCACGAGAAAGGGAUUUCGGUCCUGAGUAAAGUGGCGCACGGGUGGGUAACACGUGAAUCAUCUACCUCCGAGUGGGGAAUAACCUAGAGAAAUCUGGGCUAAUACCGCAUAACACUUACGAGUCAAAGCAGCAAUGCGCUUGGAGAGGAGUUCGCGGCAGAUUAGCUAGUUGGCGGGGUAAUGGCCCACCAAGGCGAUGAUCUGUAUCCGGCCUGAGAGGGCGCACGGACACACUGGAACUGAAACACGGUCCAGACUCCUACGGGAGGCAGCAGUGGGGAAUUUUGCGCAAUGGGGGAAACCCUGACGCAGCAACGCCGCGUGGAGGAUGAAGCCCCUUGGGGUGUAAACUCCUUUCGAUCGGGAAGAUAAUGACGGUACCGAUAUAAGAAGCCCCGGCUAACUUCGUGCCAGCAGCCGCGGUAAUACG
rnacentral:rRNA from 1 species